rnacentral:lncRNA from 1 species
ACAGGAUCUCCUUAGGCAAAGUUGCUGAGGCUGGCCUCCAAUUUGCCAUCCUCCUGCCUGAGGCUCCCGAGUAGCUGGGAUGAUAGGCAUAUGCCACUGCACCCAGCUUUUUCCUAGUUUUAAUGAGUUGGGAAGUGUAGUUUUAGACAUCAUUUAACACUUAAUAUUUUGCAGAGCACUUGCAAUAGAAUUGUCUGUUAAGGUAGGUCUCUAGGAAGUCUCAAGAGUGAUCAGCACAGGACACGUCCAAGCCACGUGAUGGGUACAACAGGUAGAACUGAGGUUGCUAUAAAAAAUGACUCAAUAAAUCUUCAGGGAAAGUUGUAAGCCAUCGUGAAAUCUUCAGGAAAGUUUACAAUGAAAUCAUAUCUUACUUACUUUGCUCUGAUAAGACUGCUACAGUGUUGUCUACAGACUUAAAGAAACAUUUUAAGUCUGUGGGUCAAUGAAGAACGGGAACAGUUAAGGCAAGGAGAAGGGCUGAAUUAGUAGACCCGACUCAGGCCAUCGAUAUGAACAGCAGGCCCCACAGAAAACAGGAUGCGUUUUCCAGCAAAGGACCCAGGACAGAAAUAUCCAGACCGUCGGCACAUCCUGUUCAAUGGGGCCCGUGUGCCAAGUGCAGGCAAAAGUCCCCUUCACUUGUGUCUAAACCUGACUUAUUUCUGGGAGAAUGACUAAGGGGAGAAAUAAUUGAUAAACUAAGUAUCUAAUAUAUAAACAUAUCACUGAAAGCACUUCUGCUUCUUCAUUUAUCAGAAAGGGUACGGACCAGGGAAGACAAGGACUAAGCUCUGGUUGUUUACAGUGGAUUUAAAAUUAUACAGUCAGA